rnacentral:rRNA from 2 species
AAGGCUUCAGUACGACUCAGUCAGAACUAUAAGUCUCAAAGCCCCGACGAGUAGGGUGGCGUGCCGGUGCGCGUUGAAGGCCAAGACGUGAGUCAGGCUGGAGCCGCCGGUAGUGCAGAUCUUGGUGGUAGUAGCAAGUACUCUGGUGAACCAACCUGGAGCUGUGAGGUCUGGAUCAGGGUUCCAUGUCAACAGUGAUUGAACAUGGGUGAGUCGAUCCUAAGCCAACUGUGAAAGCAGUGACAUCCCGACAAUGGGGCAUACGUGCGCGCACUUACACCCCCAUACCAAAGCUCUCGAGUAACUCCUUGCGUAUGCUCUCGAACAACAAGGUGUUUGGUAAACACAACAGGCGCACACACGCUGACUGAGUGUGUGCGCUUUUCUGAUUACGCUCAUUAGCGUUGUAGUACUCUGUCUGUGGUUAACUUUUCGAGGAGGAAAGAGAGUGGGUGAGCGUGAGUUUGCUUUCGCAUGGCUUCUGCGUCUGGUUCUAUGUCUGGCGAAAGGGAAUGGGGACUUUGUUCCUUGACCGGUCCCGGCACCCUCGAUUGGCUCUGCCAAUUAAUGGUCCAUGCAAAUGGAACCAGGCCACAGCCGCCGGCAGUCGCCCGAGGAAGAGUUUUCUUUUCUGCUUAACGCACGAGGUCAUCCCUGGAAACAGUUCGGCUGGCGAAAGGGUGCCCCGUUGCGGCAGAGCGCCACGACUGUCGUGUGCGUCUCGGUGUUCCUGCCGGUCCGUGAAGACGUGGUCGAGGGGAUUGCUCUUGUAUCAACGAAACGCCCGACAAGUUCGGGACGGACCGUACCCUAUAUCCGCAUCUGGUCUCCAAGGUUCGUAGCCUCUGCAGAGUCAGACACAUGUAGGUAAGGGAAGUCGGCAAACUCGAUCCGUAACUUCGGGAAAAGGAUUGGCUCUGAGGGCCGAGCUGGGCCGGGCCUUGCCUGCAAAGCAGUACCUAUAGUGACCGGAGUUUCAGGAGUGCGAGGGGCUCUAGUAGCUGCUUGUGCGUGUGUGCGUUCGCGCGUGCGCGCGUGUGGGCACGAACGAGUCCACCGCUCCGCUCCAACCACGAACGGCUGUGACGGCAAGGGCUCUGGGCGGGAGCGAUCAAACCGUUGGCCUCCAGCUCGUCUGGCUGGCGGCGGUGCUCCGUCUGACCCAUACGGCUCCAGCGGCUAGCGGCUAACUCAGAACUGUCAUGGACCAAGGGAAUCCGACUGUCUAAUUAAAACAAAGCGUCGUGACGGCCCCUGUUGGGUGUUGACGCGACGUGAUUUC